UACGUAGGGUGCAAGCGUUAAUCGGAAUUACUGGGCGUAAAGCGUGCGCAGGCGGUUUUGUAAGUCUGUCGUGAAAUCCCCGGGCUCAACCUGGGAAUUGCGAUGGAGACUGCAAGGCUAGAAUCUGGCAGAGGGGGGUAGAAUUCCACGUGUGAGCAGUGAAAUGCGUAGAGAUGUGGAGGAACACCGAUGGCGAAGGCAGCCCCCUGGGUCAAGAUUGACGCUCAUGCACGAAAGCUGGGGAGCAAACAGG
rnacentral:rRNA from 1 species